rnacentral:lncRNA from 1 species
AUGCUUCCACUUUCCGUGCUGCUGGACGGCCGGUGGCUUCCCAGAGCCUGCCUGCCUUUCAAAUUGCUCGGGCUGGAGCUGCAAUCCUUCCACCCACCCCUUUCCCGUGAGGUAAAGAGAAUGUUCAUACCCCAGGUCUUGUUACCAAGCAACAGAGUUCCAUUUGCCAAUUGCCACCAUUUCCUUCUCAUAGUAUUACAGGCCUUAUUAUUAACAUUUAGUUCAGAGAAAUUGCUGUCAUUAUGUGAAGUAACUUCCUUUAGAGGUUAUUCAUUAACCUUAGUUUUCAGGCUGAAGGUGCCCCAUUUCCCCUCCAGAGGCGUCUGCCUUCCUAAAGGUAAACUGUGCCCUCCCGUUCGUCCAGGUCGCCCACUGUACACCCCGAAGAGAACUGUGACGAGCUUGCCCUCUUAGGGUCUUGCGAUCCCCAGAUGCGCUAGGCCAGCCUGAAGUUGCUCCUCCUUUGUCUUAGGGAAAAGUGGGGGUGGUGGUGGUGGUGGUGGUGGGGGGGGGAUAUUCGGGAGCCCACGUGCCUGGCGUGCACACUCGUGCACAGGCGGGGCUCCUCGCAGACCUCACACAAUACCUGAAAUUGUGUAUUGUGCACAGUGUUGCUCUGGCUGCAGCGGAAGACCUUCAUCCUCCUGCUCACUCCACGGCUCGACAAAAGCAAUUUUUCACUCCCGGGCUUUGCAGGAGCCAGGUGUGCAUUCCAUAAUACGCCUAUUAUGCGGCCCUUCUCGGUAGCCACCGCCUAUACAAUGACCCUUCUGAUUUGUCCUAUUGCGUGGUUGCCAAGGACUUUGGUCCCCACCCAGUACAACUUGAGGUAGGCCUUUCACAUAUAUUUUCGGGCAAAAAGAAAAAAAAAGAAAAAAGAAAAAAGAAAGAGAGAGAGAGAGAGACAAAUGCACCCCUGCCUCUUUGUUUUCAGACAGACAAAAGCAACUGGCGUGUGCCUUCCCCCCAAACCCAGGUGCCUGCAGCUCGGGCGCCCUAAAGAGGAAACCUGCUCCCCUCCUCCCAGGUUUCUGGUUUCUCCACCCCACCUCCCCGCAGUCCUCCGCUCCCGCACCCAGGGCUUCCGGCCUCCACCCCGACAUUCCAGGUAACCUGACUCCCCCGACGGCAGAGGCGGGGACCGGGGCCGGGGCCGGGAGGGCGCGGCCACGUGACCUCCCCGCCCGCCGGAGCGCGCGCCCCGCUCGGGGACCGGGGGAGCCCAGCGCCCUGCUUCGAGACCCAAGUUUAAAAACAUUAGAUUUGCCGAAAGGCCGCUUGCUUCGGCAUCAGGCAGCGUCCCCUGGGACCAUCGCAAGUGCAAGGGCGAGGCGGGCCGUGGGGCGCCGGCGGCGCGGGUCUGACGG